rnacentral:rRNA from 1 species
GAUGAACGCUGGCGGCGUGCCUAAUACAUGCAAGUCGAGCGAACAGACGAGGAGCUUGCUCCUCUGACGUUAGCGGCGGACGGGUGAGUAACACGUGGAUAACCUACCUAUAAGACUGGGAUAACUUCGGGAAACCGGAGCUAAUACCGGAUAACAUGUUGAACCGCAUGGUUCAACAGUGAAAGACGGUCUUGCUGUCACUUAUAGAUGGAUCCGCGCCGCAUUAGCUAGUUGGUAAGGUAACGGCUUACCAAGGCAACGAUGCGUAGCCGACCUGAGAGGGUGAUCGGCCACACUGGAACUGAGACGCGGUCCAGACUCCUACGGGAGGCAGCAGUAGGGAAUCUUCCGCAAAGGGCGAAAGCCUGACGGAGCAACGCCGCGUGAGUGAAGAAGGUCUUCGGAUCGUAAAACUCUGUUAUUAGGGAAGAACAAAUGUGUAAGUAACUAUGCACGUCUUGACGGUACCUAAUCAGAAAGCCACGGCUAACUACGUG